UACGUAGGGGGCAAGCGUUGUCCGGAAUUAUUGGGCGUAAAGCGCGUGUAGGCGGCUCGGUAAGUCUGCUGUGAAAGUCCAGGGCUCAACCCUGGAAUGCCGGUGGAUACUGUCGAGCUCGAGUCCGGAAGAGGCGAGUGGAAUUCCUGGUGUAGCGGUGAAAUGCGCAGAUAUCAGGAGGAACACCGAUGGCGAAGGCAGCCCCCUGGGCCAACACUGACGCUCAGGCACGAAAGCGUGGGGAGCAAACAGG
rnacentral:rRNA from 1 species